GAUGAAGAACGUAGCGAAAUGCGAUAAGUAGUGUGAAUUGCAGAAUUCCGUGAAUCAUCGAAUCUUUGAACGCACAUUGCGCCUUCUGGUAUUCCGGAAGGCAUGCCUGUUCGAGAGUCAUUAACAACCGUUUCGAUCCCUUUCUUUCAGAAAUUACAAAGAGGAAAAGGGUUUGGUUAUGGUGGAGGAGGGAAAGGGAGCGUUUAGCCUGUAAAAAAAGAGGCUGUGUUCCGCCUCCCCCCCAAAAUUGUACAGGCGGUCGUGUGCGCCCACGCAUCGAGGUGGUGUAAAAGCUGCCACGGCACUUUUCACCUGUGCAGUGCGAGAUUGGCCAGCCGGUUUAAAAACCCCUCCAAACAAUCAAAGGUUGACCUCGGAUCAGGUAGGGAUACCCGCUGAACUUAAGCAUAUCAAUAAGCGGAGGA
rnacentral:misc_RNA from 1 species